GACGUAGGGGGCAAGCGUUGUUCGGAAUUAUUGGGCGUAAAGCGCUCGUAGGCGGGACAGGAAGUUCGUGUUGAAAGACCUCGGCUCAACUGAGGGACCGGCUCGAAUACUCUUGUUCUUGAGGCAAUCAGAGGGUGAUGGAAUUCCCGGUGUAGCGGUGAAAUGCGCAGAUAUCGGGAAGAACACCCGUGGCGAAGGCGGCACUCUGGGACGGUACUGACGCUAAGACGCGAAAGCGUGGGGAGCGAACAGG
rnacentral:rRNA from 1 species